rnacentral:lncRNA from 1 species
GAGAAAAAAAAGUAAAGACCAAUAAACAUAUAUUGUAACACCUUUACUAAAAUGAGAUUGCUAGUGAGGGGUUGACAAGUUCAUAAGAGAGGGGUUGACAAGUCAUAAGAGGCUUACCAUAGCAAUAAACAUGUGAAAGGACAUGCUAAAUAAACAUAUGAUAGGGGGUUGACAAGUUCAUAAGAGGCUUACUAAAUCAAAUUGCUUGCACUCCUAAACAUAUAUUGUAACACCUUUACUAAAAUGAUUAAUAAAAGGAGGAAAGCUUACAAUUCUUAUGUUUAGGAACAAAACUAAUUGAAUCAUUUGUCUUCAAAUUCUCUCUAACAAAUGAAUCCUAAUUAAAUUGGUUUGGCAUAGGACGAAUUAAUAUGAGGAGAUGCUUGGUUAUACGAGGCAACAAAGAUUGUAUUUUAUUGGAACUACAUCACUAAAAACAUCAACAAAGUAGAGAACAACAAUGCAACUUUUGAUUAUAAUAAUGUGAUUAACUCUAAAAAUGAUAAUGUCUUUUAACAUUGUUCUACUGGUAGCUUUGCUGAGUUUAGAUGGGAUACCAAAUAUGCUGGAAUUCAUGUUCUAAACUCCAAGGUAUGUAUAUAUAUAUAUAUUACAGUACAUUGCAAAGGAAAUGGAAAUGGUUCUUCGUCCAAUAUGUUGCAUGCAUAUAUAUAAUAGAUUAUUAACCCAAUUAUCUAUUAUUACAAUACAUUGCAAAGGAAAUGGUUAUUCGUCCAAUAUGUUUAUUAAUUAUAUGGUUCUUCUUCCUAAAAAUAGAAUUCAUGUUCCCACGGCUCUCUAUGUAUGUGUGCCUGUAGGACAUAUGCAUUUCUUCUCUACAAAUUUAAUGGUAUAUCUAAGAUGCCUGACAAAAAACUCAGAUUUUAUUACUCACUUGACUUCAAAGAGGAUGGAUAUCGACACUGCCAACGGAGAGGAGUGGAGAAGAAAUGGAGAGGUCCGGUGAAAACAAAGUUGAAAUCGAAAAGGAGUGGGGAAGCGUUCACCGGAGUUGAAGUUGAAACUAAAACAGAGAGCCGUGAAGAAGAAAUGGAGAGGUUCGGUGAAAACGAAGUUGAAAUUGGAAAAGAGUGGAGAAGCUUUCACCGGAGUUGAAGUCGAAACAAGAAAAAUAGAGUCGUGGAGAAGAAAUGGAUGGAAGUGGAGAAGAAAUUGAUGGAAAAGAUGUUCACCAGAGGCACCGAAGUUGAAGGAAGUGUAGAAGCAGGAGAGUUCAAAAGCGGGAGAGUUGAAGUUCACGUUUUUUUUUAAUGUUGUUCUGUUUUUAGGUUGAAGAAAAGGAAAAAGGAAAGAGGAAAUGGGGAAAUUAAAUAAGGACAUUUUGGUCAAUUCACUCCAAAUUUGUCCUAAAUCUCAACUUUUUUAAAAUCAAUCAUAAAACUCCUUUUCUACUCCAUUUUUGGCCUAUUUUUGACAAUUUUUCAUAUAUAUUUAUGGAUGUUGAUAUUGGUUGACAUGGGUAUAUAAGUCAUGUUAUACUGUUGAAUAACAAGCCCUUCAUUUUCUAUUUCUAGAGAAUUCAUGUGCUUGGGAGUCCCUGAUGAUUAAUUAUUAAAUAAACCAAGAUUUUACCAUGACUGCAAUUUUAGAGAGACGCGAAAGCGAAAGCCUAUGGGGUCGUUUCUGUAACUGGAUAACCAACACUGAAAAUCGUCUUUACAUUGGAUGAUUUGGUGUUUUGAGGAUCCCUACCUUAUUGACCGCUACUUCUGUAUUUAUUAUUGCCAAUUCUAAUGUAUCUCUGUAUCGUUUACCCCUACAAAAUACCAAAAAAAAUUGAACGAUCUUAGAUUAGAAGGGAUAUAAUGAAAUUCCUUGAUUGGUUCUUCACUGAUAAAUUAUCCCUUUUAUUUGAUUUGACUGAUGCGGACAACAAACAAUUAUAACAAAUAUCAAAAUAUCCAAAUUUCUAACUAAUACUAGCUAAAUAUAAUAGCUAUAUAUUUAUACAAAAUAUAAAAAAUUCAUUCAUAUUUGAAAAUAUUUAUCAAAAGAAAAGUUUAAUAAUAGCAUAGCAGUUAAUAAUUAAAAUAAAGAAAAAAAAAAAAUAGAGUUUUCUUAUUUGAAACGCCUUGUGAUCUUCAACCAAUUUUGGGCUUCAAUAUAAUUACCGGGAGUAAGCGCUAUAGCUUGUUUCCAAUACUCAGCGGCUUGAUUGAACCAAGCCUCCGCAAUUUCAGAAUCUCCCUGUCGAAUGGCCUGUUCUCCCCGGUCGGAAUAGGCAGGUAAAUUCCUUCCCUUAGAACCGUACUUGAGAGUUUCCUACCUCAUACGGCUCAACAGUCAAUUCUUUUGCUGUCCCAUAUUUUAAAAAAUUUACCAUAUCUAAUCUAAUUGAAUGAAAUUUUUCAUAGAUCUAGGCCAUUUUUUUUUCUCGAGUUAAGCAAAAGAGGUUAAUUAUAUAAGUUUCAAACUUCAAUUUUGCUGAAUAAUUAAAUAAGUUUUAUCUUUUCUCCCACCUUCAGAAAAAUAAAGCAUAGGCAUUCCACCCACUAUCGUUACAAUUUUCUGAAAGAUAACUAUCUCGGUUUCAUCUAGAAAUUUAUAUAGAAUCCUUGAAAAAGACUUUCCUUCAUAAGAAAGAAAAGACUUACUGUCUUUGGGAUCUGAUGCUACACCGCUGCUCAAUAUUGUAGGGGAUCCACCCUAUUACAUAAGUGGAUUCCUUCAUUUUGAUCUUAUAUCAUGAUAUAAGUAAGCAGUUUUUAUUGUAUCGGCCAAAAACCUGACUAAUUGAUCUUUACGGUGCUUCUUCUAUCAAUUAGAUCCUUUAUCCAUAGAAUAAAGUAUCUAGGCAUACCUAUUUCUUCAUAUUUCUAUUUCUAUGAAGUUUCUUUCUUUGCUACAGCUGAUACAAAUCGUUAGUUUGGACAAUACAUAUGUAGAAAGCCUAUUUUUUUUUUAGUAUUUAUUAGCGAAUUUUCUCUUUUUUUUCUUUCUAUAGUGGAGAUAGUCGCACGUAAUGACAGAUCACAGCCAUAUUAUUAAAAGCUUGUGGUAAGAACGGGUUUCGUUCUAGUGCCCGAAAAUAAUAUUCCAAAGCUUUCGUAUGUUCUCCGUUCCUUGUGUGGAUAAGACCUAUGUUAUAGAGUAUAUAACUUCGAUCAUAGGGAUCGAUUUCUAGUCGCAUAGCUUCAUAAUAAUUCUGUAGAGCUUCCGCAUAAUUUCCUUCGGAUUGAGCCGACAUCCGUUACGGUCGUUCCUUAUUCCAUUCAAAGACUUCAAAG